UACGGGGGGGGCAAGUGUUCUUCGGAAUGACUGGGCGUAAAGGGCACGUAGGCGGUGAAUCGGGUUGAAAGUGAAAGUCGCCAAAAAGUGGCGGAAUGCUCUCGAAACCAAUUCACUUGAGUGAGACAGAGGAGAGUGGAAUUUCGUGUGUAGGGGUGAAAUCCGUAGAUAUUGGGAAGAACACCGGUGGCGAAGGCGGCUCUCUGGACCGACACUGACGCUGAGGCGCGAAAGCGUGGGGAGCAAACAGG
rnacentral:rRNA from 1 species